rnacentral:piRNA from 1 species
UUACAAGGGUGCUAGAGAUUUGAGCUUGU